GACGAACGCUGGCGGCGUGCCUAAUACAUGCAAGUCGAACGCUGAAGGAGGAGCUUGCUCUUCUGGAUGAGUUGCGAACGGGUGAGUAACGCGUAGGUAACCUGCCUGGUAGCGGGGGAUAACUAUUGGAAACGAUAGCUAAUACCGCAUAACAGUAGAUGUUGCAUGACAUUUGCUUAAAAGGUGCAAUUGCAUCACUACCAGAUGGACCUGCGUUGUAUUAGCUAGUUGGUGGGGUAACGGCUCACCAAGGCGACGAUACAUAGUCGACCUGAGAGGGUGAUCGGCCACACUGGGACUGAGACACGGCCCAGACUCCUACGGGAGGCAGCAGUAGGGAAUCUUCGGCAAUGGACGGAAGUCUGACCGAGCAACGCCGCGUGAGUGAAGAAGGUUUUCGGAUCGUAAAGCUCUGUUGUAAGAGAAGAACGAGUGUGAGAGUGGAAAGUUCACACUGUGACGGUAUCUUACCAGAAAGGGACGGCUAACUACGUG
rnacentral:rRNA from 1 species